rnacentral:rRNA from 1 species
GACGAACGCUGGCGGCGUGCCUAACACAUGCAAGUCGAACGGAACUUACCGAAUGAAGUUUUCGGAUGGAUUUUGAUAAGUUUAGUGGCGGACGGGUGAGUAACGCGUGAGUAACCUGCCUUCAAGAGGGGAAUAACGUUCUGAAAAGAACGCUAAUACCGCAUAACAUACGGAUGUCGCAUGGCAACCGUAUCAAAGAUUAUAUCGCUUGAAGAUGGACUCGCGUCCGAUUAGCCAGUUGGCGGGGUAACGGCCCACCAAGGCGACGAUGCGUAGCCGACCUGAGAGGGUGACCGGCCACACUGGGACUGAGACACGGCCCAG